AACAGGCAGAGGUGCUGCCGGCAGUUACAGCAAGAUGGUGUUCACUGGCUGGGACUACGGUUGCCAGGGAGACCAGGCCACCAAACUCAAACAGAAAAGCAUCCACUACCAGCUACAGGUGGACCUGGAGGAGGAGGCUACAGAAAAAGGCUUUGUCUCUAACCUUAGGUCAGACAGUGGGUCUGUGUUCUCUACGCAUCAAACUCAUGCUCGUCACCCUCGGCUCUCAUAGGAGGAGCUUUCUUUGGCAUCUUCAAGGCUACUGUCUUCAGCCAGUGUGGUGCUGUGUUACGUAGCAACUCUAGCCGCAGUCUAUGGGAAGAGUGUUGAUCUGCUAAAGGCCCAGCUUAAACUGGAGGGAUGUGAUAAGCAGUUCCUGAUAAGCAGAUUGAAGAGCUGAGUAGAGAGAUGGAGGUUCCAACAAGGGACCAAUUGGACACAUUUGACACUGGUGCAGCAAACUGACUCAGACACCAGGCUCAAACCCACGGCCCAUAUCCCGGCCCAAGGCACUUCUUGCAGAUUUGAAAGGCUUAGAUAGGUUUGCAUGUGACAAAGCACAUAUCUACACCUUCACAAAUCAUUUUACAAUUGUCACUCUUUAGUGUACGAUAGCUACAUUUGAGGCAAAGUUGUACUUAUUAUGAUUGAGUGGUGGUUCUCACCUAGUUACGGUAUCUUAAGAUGAAUGCACCAACUGUAAAUCCCUCUGGAUAAGAGCUUCUGCUAAAUGACUCAUCUAAAUAAUCUAAUUUAGUUUGUUACCCUAUUUCUCUCUCAUAAUACCUGUAACAUCAAUUGCCAUGUUCAUUGCCUUUGCAUUCUCUUCCUCACCUCUUGCCUAAACAUCAGACUGUGACCGUGUUUACACAAUGGUUAUUCAGCGUGAAAGAAGUCGUCCUAAAAAAGAGGCAAGUGUCUCUACAAGCCAGAAUGUUGAAUACAAUUAUAUUUACACUUAUCGGUUGUCCGUCCUUUUGACGGUAGGAAGUGGAGAUAAAAUAUCCACAGGAAAGUAUUGUUUACCCGACUUUUUGCUGCGACGGUAGGUUCUUUCGCUUGUAUUUUCAAUCUCCAGAGGCAUUGUUGCACAUUAUGUAAACAGUAGCCGAACAUUGUCGACCGAAGCACGUUCCCUCGCAGUCAGCUGGGUGUAAUUUGUGGAACGUUCCAAUAGGAAUCUGUUCCAAAAAGUUCGUAAAUAACAAGGUUGCCAGCAAACAACGGAUACAAAAUUGUAUAGCGGCAGAAUAAGAUACCGGGUAGGGAGUGGGCUAUUUCAUUCAGUUUCUCACUCACCACGUUUUUUCCGAAAAAUGUCUGAAUUUAUCACGCUACGUUGAAAACAUUAUACUUUACGAAGUUUUUGGAAACGAUUCCUGUUGGAACGUUCCACAAAUUAUACCCACCGAUCAGCUAGAAGUGCUUGUGAAAUUUGCCAGUUUGAUUGUGUGGGACAUCGUUCGGUCUGUGAUUCAAUUAAGCUUGGCCAUUACUUGCAUAUUGUGCAAGUGUUUGUCAUGUGCGAAUUGUGCCAGUACUGAAAAUACAAACGCAUAUGCAGACCAAUUUAGUGUAUUGAAAGUUAGGUUAACACUUCCCUGUUGAUAUUUUGUCUGUUACUUCCCAAAAUAAGAACACAAUCAGCGGACAACAGGUAAAGCAAGUUGAAAUAAAGAUUAUUCAACAUUGUGACUUGUAAUGGGACUGUUCAGGAAUGCUGAACCUACAUGUUAGAUACAAGAGUGUAAGUCUUUCACUCUCGGAUUCCAAAACAGGCUACCUCUACCCCACCUUUACAACAUUAAAUGUGUUUAUUUUUCUAAAUUGAUUUAAAUAUUGUUUACAUAUAUGUUUAAUGUUCUUCAGUUUAACAAGUUCUC